rnacentral:rRNA from 1 species
GACGUAGGGCGCGAGCGUUGUCCGGAUUUAUUGGGCGUAAAGAGCUCGUAGGCGGCUUGUCGCGUCGUCCGUGAAAACCCACAGCUCAACUGUGGGCUUGCGGUCGAUACGGGCAGGCUAGAGUUCGGUAGGGGAGACUGGAAUUCCUGGUGUAGCGGUGAAAUGCGUAGAUAUCUGGAGGAACACCGGUGGCGAAGGCGGCAUCCUGGACCAAUACUGACGCUGAGGAGCGAAAGCCAGGGGAGCAAACGGG